rnacentral:rRNA from 1 species
AACGAACGCUGGCGGCAUGCCUAACACAUGCAAGUCGAACGAAGCCUUCGGGCUUAGUGGCGCACGGGUGCGUAACACGUGGGAAUCUGCCCUUCGGUUCGGAAUAACAGUUAGAAAUGACUGCUAAUACCGGAUGAUGACGAAAGUCCAAAGAUUUAUCGCCGAAGGAUGAGCCCGCGUAGGAUUAGGUAGUUGGUAGGGUAAUGGCCUACCAAGCCGACGAUCCUUAGCUGGUCUGAGAGGAUGAUCAGCCACACUGGGACUGAGACACGGCCCAGACUCCUACGGGAGGCAGCAGUGGGGAAUAUUGGACAAUGGGCGAAAGCCUGAUCCAGCAAUGCCGCGUGAGUGAUGAAGGCCUUAGGGUUGUAAAGCUCUUUUACCAGGGAUGAUAAUGACAGUACCUGGAGAAUAAGCUCCGGCUAACUCCGUGCCAGCAGCCGCGGUGAUGUACAGUGU